rnacentral:rRNA from 1 species
GACGAACGCUGGCGGCGUGCCUAAUACAUGCAAGUCGAGCGAAUGGAUUAAGAGCUUGCUCUUAUGAAGUUAGCGGCGGACGGGUGAGUAACACGUGGGUAACCUGCCCAUAAGACUGGGAUAACUCCGGGAAACCGGGGCUAAUACCGGAUAACAUUUUGAACCGCAUGGUUCGAAAUUGAAAGGCGGCUUCGGCUGUCACUUAUGGAUGGACCCGCGUCGCAUUAGCUAGUUGGUGAGGUAACGGCUAACCAAGGCAACGAUGCGGAGCCGACCUGAGAGGGGGAUCGGCCACACUGGGACUGAGACACGGCCCAGACUCCUACGGGAGGCAGAAGUAGGGAAUCUUCCGCAACGGACGAAAGUCUGACGGAGCAACGCCGCGUGAGUGAUGAAGGCUUUCGGGUCGUAAAACUCUGUUGUUAGGGAAGAACAAGUGCUAGUUGAAUAAGCUGGCACCUUGACGGUACCUAACCAGAAAGCCACGGCUAACUACGUGCCAGCCGCCGCUGUAA